rnacentral:lncRNA from 1 species
GCCUUGCCCGCUACAACGGCCCCACCACUCCAGGCCUCGUCAGGCUUCGAGCCCCGCUCGGAUACAGAUCUGUUUCGCUUAGGCCUCGCCUGUCAUUGGGCCUCGCCCACCAACAAUACUACCACAUAAACAUAUCGCAACACAUACACUAAACAUAUACUACCGAAUACUGUUCUAAAGGCCUCACCUAUCUUGGGCCUCGCCCAUGUCCUGCAACUGAUGAUUCAUGGAACCCCGUCCACACUCCUACUGAUAGUGAGAUACGAGCUCAGCCCACACUCACUCCCUUCCUACUUUGGGCCUCGCCCCUGCUCUACUGCUAAUGANUCCAUACUCUACUGCUGGUGAGAUACGGGACCUCACCCACACUCACCUUCCUACCAGGCACAUACAUGUAUCACAUAGACAACAAGUAUAACUAUCAUGCAAACCAUUCCUUGGGCACCCGCCCGCUACACUGGACCUCGUCCUGAAUAUCAUACUAGCAUAUUGUGCCUAGGGCUAACCCCCGGGUCUUCCUAUUCAUAACUACAUGGGCCGGCAUUGUGGUCGUAGACCCAUUCACACAAGGGGAAACUCACCUGCACUUGAUGAAGUUGUUGAAACCCCUCUGCCGUUGCCCGACAACUCUUCUGAACUGCGGCUCCACUAGCUCCCCGAGCUAUCAAUAUCAAUAUAACACUUAGUCUAACUAUUCUCCGAAAGUCAACUAAGUCAACUCUGGUCAAAUUCAACCUUCCAGGUCAACCCUACUCGCCGAGUCUGCCUACUGACUCACCGAGUUCAUAUGCUUAGAGUCCUUCCAUUCGCGACACGAGUUGCCGAGUCAGCCCAUGACUCGCCGAGUCCACCGAUUUCCGAGUCCUGUCCUGUCCAACUCACUGAGUCUCCACAUGACUCACUGAUUCAAGUCUUAACUUGAAGGGUUCGGGGUUUCGUGACCUGACUCGCCGAGUCCAAGGAAAACUUCAACAGACUCGCCGAGUUGUUCAUCGAACUCAUCGAGUUCCUCCUAAUCUUCAUACUACUCGUCGAGUCCACUCGAAGGACUCGCCGAGUCUAUUAAGUCCUUUAUACAUUCAUAAGCUUUUUGAUUCAUGCGGGGACUCCAAACUGUAGAUCCACUCUUCCAAAGCUUAUUCCUUAUGUAAAGUUGCAAACUUUACAUAUAACUAAGGAGAUCUAGGCUCAAAACACUCUAGGGCUAGGUUUUAUGACAAAAGGGCUUCACCAACCACUCAAUAACUGAUGCUUUACGACAUUUUGAACCAUCCCAACACUAGAUCUAAAGUGGCAACCUCAAAUCUAAGCCCUAAACCCGAAAUAGAUCUCAAACAACCAUGAAACCCCCAAAUAUCAUAACAAAAAUAGAUCUAGAUGCAAAGGAGGGAAGAUAACAGCUUAAUACGUCCAAGAUGAGAACAAACUUAAGUAGAUCUCAUAUCUACACAUCUCCUUUGAAGCAACCCUCUUGAUCUUCAAGUUCCUUUCAAAGAUUCCCUCCUCCAAAGCUAUUUUCUCUCAAAUGAUGGAAGCUCCCACAAAAUCUAGGGUUUACAGGCGCUCUAGGAUGUUAUGGAGGCUGAGGAAGGGACAUAACACCCUUUAUAUAGGGUACAACCCCUGGGAUUAGGGUUUUCUCCUUCCAGCACCAACUCGUCGAGCCCAAGAUUCCGACUCGGUGAGUUGAUCACUUAAUUUGCGACCUAACCCCGCUCCGACUCGGCGAGUAAGCGAGCCUACUCAUCGAGUCCCUUCUUCAAAUUGCACUUUCAUUCCUUAAAUCAUACUUCUGAAAUUUGAGAUGUUACAAUCUCCCCCACUUAAACUAAACUUCGUACUCGAAGUUCUCCACGGUUAACCGACCUGCAAUCUCUUUCCAAUCAUCCUGCUUGAUGGGUCUAACACCUGCUGACUACUUCCGUUGGCUUUCCGCCUGAUCAUGCAGACUGACCCUAUUCCUUGUGAUAACAAUCCUCAAGCAUUUUAAUAACACUUCCUUCACCACUGGUAAUCCUUCCAGUGCUCCCCAAGUACUUAUGCUAGACUCCCUAGGGUUCACUCCCCUUUGACUUACGCGAUACCCGACCUUCCCAAGGCAACCUUCCAUAACCACUGCCCCCUUAUCACCGUGAAUGACAUACCUUUCACGAUAUCCAGUACUCCAGUCACUCCAGUGCUGGUCUCUGCUGCCGAUACACACUGAAUACUCUUUAAUACUACCAAUCCAUAGAUCUUUCAUCAUUCCAGCCACUCACUGGAAACGAUGUUGCUCCUUAUCCACCUUCCGGAUGAACUGAGACUAUCCCAGGUCCCAGCUAAUCUGUUCAUAACUAGGUUAACGGACUCCCACCGGUCACUAUACCCAACCCAAUCUUCUAGCCGCUCCCAGUGACUUCUGAAGAAACCUCAGCUAUCUAUUACCGCUCUAUCUACUCUUCCACUUUGGCGUUACUAGUCCUGGGAUCCUCGAUCUCCUGCCUUGACCCUACGGUCCCUACCAGGUCCCACCUGUGCUACUAUAAACUCACGGGCCUCGCACAUGGGUCUCACCCGACUAUACUACUGAGCAACCCUGCUCUCAGGUCUCACCUAUACUGCUACUCUCAUACGGGCCUCGCCCAUGGGUCUCACCCAACUACAUCCUGGAGCGGCCUCUCCCAAGGUCUCACCUCUCUAGGGCUAUGCAGGCAAGCUCCAUACUGUACUUAUCUACUACCCAAUCCUGAUUCCUACCUGGAUCGCUAGGAGGUAAGGGCCUCACCCCAACUCCGCUAACUAGGAGAUACGGGCCUCCGCCUAUACUUCGCUAACUAGCUGCUAGGGAAUGCUACGGAUUAACCGUAGUCUUACAACACCUUCCACCACUGACUGCUAGUGACUGCUACGGCUGCCCCAUAGUCUUACAACACUCCCACCACUAACUGCUGCUGGAGAAAGCUGCGGCUCUCCCGCCGCUCUACCAUGCUCUACAUGCUGCCUCUGCCACUGUCUACUAACACGAAAGCAUCCCAUGCUAUCUGUCUUCAAGAUCUUCAUUCCGACUCACUCGAGUCCUACAUGCGAUCCUCCAUCCGGAAUUCCCAACCAGGCUUUAACCAUCACUAUUACACGUACUAACUGGUGGGGAGUUCCUCAAACUCCCAAUCCGGAAUUCUUUAGUCCAUCAAAUGUUGUGCUACUUCUGUUCCUUCUUAGAGAUCGUUCACUCAUCCUGGAUUUGCGUGCUCUUGCCUUUGUACACUCGGAGGGUUCUCCCCAACUUCAAUCCUGCUUACACCUCACUGCUCAAUGCUCGAAAAGAAUCCCCGAUCCUUGCUGACAUUCCAAAAUCAAUCUGCUGAGGGACCCAAGCUUACCAUAGCUAGGGAUCUAACCAGUCCAUCUCUAAAACUAUACAACUCCGAACUAGCGAGACGUACCGAGUCCCUCCCAGGCAUGCUACAGUUACUGCAUCCUAAGUAACCUUUUCUAAUAGAGCACAUCCCCUAACUACCAUUCAAAUAUCCAAGGUAUGCAGAUGGCAUAUAACUCAAUCACAAGCAAGCCGCAAAAAAUUAAAAUACUCAUACCGAUAAUGAUGCAGAACCAUAACAAUAUAAUCAUGCAUAAAUAAAACAGAAACGGAAGUCGCGUACCUACAACGUACGACACUGCUCGCAUCUCCAAGGUAGUCAUCUGAAAAGCCCUACCUCCUACCGCAGGCGCCUCUGCACGGCCUUGACGGCCGUCUGUGAUCCUCAAAGUUGCAGGGGCGGGUGCCAUCACCCGUCCUGCCGGAAGCAAACUGGGGCACUGGGCCUUCUUGUGGCCCUGCUGAUUGUAGUGAAAACAUAUCAAGUCUGAUCCCUGUGUGGUGGUAACAGUACAAUCCCUGCUAAAAUGACCAGUCCAACAGCACCUGAAGCAGCCAGACUCACCACCACUACCACUCAUGCACGCGCCCACGUGCGCCCUGCUACACUUCCCGCACCGGCUGUGGUCCUGAUAAUCCCUUGAUCUCGAAUCUGAUCCCUUGGGCCUUUUGCUCGAACCUGUGGCUACCUGAACCUCAUCCGACUUCCUCUUCCGGAUCUGCUCCAAAUCAGUUUCCCUCUCUCUAGCCAGAGAAAUCAUAUCUUCCAGCGUCUUACAGUCGGACCUGCUCACGAACUCCCUGAUGUUAGCCCUCAACAUCUCGUGAUAUCGGGCCUUCUUCAUCUCCUCAUCCGCGACAUACUGCAGUACAAGAAGAGCCCUCUCCCUGAACUUGGCGGUGAUCUCCACCACCGUCUCAGUGGUCUGUGUCAAAUCCUGAAACUCCCGUGCCAACUGCUGCACCUCAAUAAUCGGUGAAAACUCAUCCCUGAACCUGGCUGAAAAAUCACUCCAUGUCAUCGCGUCCAAUGCGACAUCAUCCCCCAAAGCAUGACCAAUCUCUUCCCACCAAUCCCUUGCUCUGUCCUUCAGUAGACAGGAGGCGAGUCUGACCUUGUCCCCAUCGGGACACCGGCUUGUACGGAAAGCGUUGGCAACAUCAUCCAACCAUCUGCUACUAGCAAUGGGGUCCCUAGCCCCAUGAUAAUCUGGUGCCCCGGAAGCCCUGAACUCUCGGAAUGUCAAAGUACGCACUCCCAUCAAAGCCAUCAUCUCGGUACAGAAGGCUCCCAGCCUCUCAUCCAAGAUCUCCAGUAUACCCUCCUUGACCGUGCCGAAGAUCACAGGAGUUUGGUCUAGUAUGUUGCGCGUAACCUCAACUGAUAUCAACUCCCUCAUCCGCUCCUCGAGCUGCUCAGUUCCCGAACCCGAGCCUGAUCCCUCUCCGACGCCUGGUUCGCCCACUGGCCUCUCUCGCAAUGUCACCAUGCUGACAAACAUAACACACAACUAUGAAAAUACACAUCAAUACUGAGGGAUCAUACACGUUCACACUACAAGUUCCCUGGUCUCGUCUCGGCCUUUCCUGAAUCGAGUACGAAUCCUCUACUUUCAGUAGUACGAGCCUAUACUACCUUCCACAUCUAUCCGUACUUUCCUCCGGAACUGCUUCGACUCUACCAGGUCCCUUUUCUACUACUACUGCUCCCAGCACUACCUCAUCCUAGGCUUACCCUAGGGAAACCUCUGACUCAAACCAAAACAAUCCUCAGCCGCUGAAGGCCUCCUUGUGAUGCCAAUUAGCCAUCACCUGGAUAUCAACACAUGUGACGAGGCUUAGAUAAUCCUUCAAGUAAAAGACUCGUCCCUACAACGGUUGGACUCAAACAAGAGCUGCCCAAUAGGGCCAAAUCCCAGCACUCUGAGAUUAUUCAACCCUGAUCACAUGUGACGUGACGCAUCCACCUAAUGGCUAACUCCCAUCACUCAGAAUCCCACAAUGCACAAAGCAAGUAGCAUUCAGACAAGGGAAAAUCUAACCAUAACAUACUCAAUCAAUCAUAUUCUCAUAUCAAGGAUCUGUAUUAGCAUGCAACACAAGCUCAUAAACUCAGGCAUAACCUAAACAGGCCACCCUACUACUGUCUAGCCCGUACUAUCAUGUAGCUCAAAAGCACAUAUAACAGGCACAUAAGGCAUGCUCCCUAGAUCCUUAGUCCUAAUCUAGCAUGCUGUUCUGAUAAUCAUAACAUGAACUUGUAUGGGUAUUUUGAGCUCGGCUGAUUGCAUGCACCACACCCCUUUUUCUCUUUUCAAAAUUCUUUUCUUUCGGAAUUCUUUUUGCUUUUCUAAACCUGUAUUCUUUCUCAAAACUCUCUUUUUACAAAACUGUCAUUUCAUUUUGAAAACUUCUAUACCAAUUCCUCAGUUUGAGUUCAGACACACCCGAGAGCAUGUCCGAAUCCCUCAAACCAAGGCUCUGAUACCAACUUGUAAAGUUCCAAAAUUCAAGACUAAAAUUUUCUUUUAUAAAACAUUACUUAAAACAUAAUUAUCAAUCCAUAACAUAAUCAGAGUAUUAAUUUCCAAACUUAUGUUCAUUAUUAGAGUAAAACAUCUCAGGCUGUCUAAUCUAUGGUGUGUGCCAUGCGAUCACCCCGAGCUCUUCCCUCCACUACCGGAAGUACUUGAAACCAAAACUGAAAACCGUAAGCACGAAGCUUAUUGAGUUCCCCAACCUACCACAUACCAUGCAUAACCACAUACUGCACAUACUAGGCCACGCCCGCUAUUCUGGGCCUCGCCCCCUACCUCGGGCCACGCCCGCUACAACGGCCCCGCCNUCCAGGCCUCGCCUGGCUUCAAGCCCUGCUCGGAUACAGAUCUGUUUCGCUUAGGCCUCGUCUGUCAUUGGACCUCGCCCACCAACAAUACUACCACAUAAACAUAUCGCAACACAUACACUAAACUUAUACUACCGAAUCCUAUUCUAAAGGGCUCGCCUAUCUUGGGCCUCGCCC